rnacentral:rRNA from 1 species
UACGUAGGGGGCAAGCGUUGUCCGGAAUCAUUGGGCGUAAAGCGCGUGUAGGCGGCCCGGUAAGUCCGCUGUGAAAGUCCAGGGCUCAACCCUGGAAUGCCGGUGGAUACUGUCGGGCUCGAGUCCGGAAGAGGCGAGUGGAAUUCCUGGUGUAGCGGUGAAAUGCGCAGAUAUCAAGGAGGAACACCAUGCGAAGGCAGCUCGCUGGGACGUGACUGACGCUGGAGACGCGAAACUGGG